rnacentral:lncRNA from 1 species
GUCCUUCUCUGGAUGAGAAGAAAAGCAUAAAUCCUGGGAUAUCCACUGGUGGCAAAUGUCACCCACCUGACGAGAGCCAGGAUGCCACCAGUGGCCCCAAGGUCCUGGCUCAGAACAAGAAGUCCUCUGCAACCGAGAUCCAGAGUGUCCUGAAGGAGAUACUGCAGACUGGGGCCAGAGGUGGGGAGAGGGAAGGACACUUGGGUGAUAGAUGUACCUGAGGUCACCAGUCCCCCCCGUCCACUGUCCCCUGUGCCUUGGGCAGCUGACAAAGUUGAAAUAAGAGAAGGAGGAGCAGGACAGGAAGGUCCAGGAGCUAGAGAGGAGCCUGAUGGACCUGAAGGCAGACAUGGGAGGGCCUGGAAGCCUCCAGGCUGCAAGAUCAGCAGUCAACCCCACAGAGAGUCCUGGCCCAGCCCAGGGAAGUUGGAAAUGAAGGCGAUGUGGAGGAAAGGAGUGUGGAGACUCCUCCGUCUGACGACACCACCCCUGCAGACUCGGGCAGCUCAGAGGCCCUGGAACAUCAGGCUCUGCUGCCCAGGGACCUGGGGCAGCAGAAGGGGCAACGCUGCUACCUGACCCACCUAGCAGCCCAACCCAGGACAAACCUGAGGAUGAGGCUCGCACCCCCAGGAGCAGCGGUGACCGUGUGUCCAUGGGGAAGCUGCUGGUCUUGCAGGAGGAGGCAGUGAUCAAGGAGGUGGUAGAGGACCUGAAGCAUCAGUGGCUGGAGCUCUGUGGGGACACAGGCGACAUCGGACGUGGAGCUGGGGCUGGAGGACGAUCCCAGGUCCAUUCACGGAGAGUUUGGGGCCGCUGCACAGAGCCAUGAUCCUCCAAAGGGGAGCCCUGCUCACACUGAGGAGCCCCCAGGAGAAGAGGCUGAGGCGGGGUCCUCUCCUCCCCGGAACCCCGGCUGCCUGACAGUGAGAACCCAUCAGGGCCCAGGCUUGGGACUUCAUCCCUGCAGCCCCUCCAUUCCGUUUUUCUCUGGCGUUUAGGAAAAGGACUCCGUGGAUCUCAAGUUGAUCCAAAGCAUUUCCCCAGCAAAGCCUGGAGAACUGGGGCCCGGGCUCUGUCCCCACUGUUUCCCAUUCAGCCCCACCUGCCUCCCUCCUCUCCUCCCAUCUCCCUGUUAGCCCUAUAGGAGCAAGGUGAGCUCCACACAUUCAUUGUUCUUUGAAAACUUUUUAACUUGUAAAUUUCUAAAGAAAUUAAAAAUGACAAGAAAAAUGUAAAGAUAAUCCAUCAAAUGAACAACAAACUUUAGAAAAUCUUUUAAAUAAAAAUUAGAAAAUGUGUUAUUUUAAUAAAAUUUCUUUCAGGGUCAGAAGGACAGGAGGAGGAAACAGAGAUGGG